rnacentral:lncRNA from 1 species
GCAAUCCUCCCAACAUAACCUCCUGAGUAGCUGGGUCUACAGCCAGUUCCGUCUUCUCCACUUGAUUGCGUGUUUGCAGUGAUUUCCUGAGUUAUCGGGAUGAAUGGUCAGAAAGCAGUGUGCCCACCAAUGGAUGUUUCCUGCCAUUGGGCCCCUUAGCAGUGACUUGGGUGCAAACCAGGGUGAUUUUUACAACUUUUAAACAAGUUUAAAGCAGCUUUGUUGGCUUUCUUAGCUGUUUGCUUUGAAAAUAUUAAAUUCAUUUUCAGCAAGUGAGUCAUUCAACA